AGUUAAAAUGUUCAUCAAUUCUUACUGUUAAAAAUUAGUGUGAUUAACAGAAUAACUAGACAAUUACAUAUAGCAUGUUAUGUGUAUCUUAUGUUGGUACAAGAACCAGUUCUCAAUAAUAGAAAUGGAUGCAAUUUUUAACA
rfam:Gossypium hirsutum cultivar TM-1 chromosome 19, whole genome shotgun sequence